rnacentral:misc_RNA from 1 species
GAUGAAGAACGCAGCGAAAUGCGAUAAGUAAUGUGAAUUGCAGAAUUCAGUGAAUCAUCGAAUCUUUGAACGCACAUUGCGCCCGCCAGUAUUCUGGCGGGCAUGCCUGUUCGAGCAUCAUUACAACCCUCAGGCCCCCGGGCCUGGCGUUGGGGAUCGGCGGAAGCCCCCUGUGGGCACACGCCGUCCCUCAAAUACAGUGGCGGUCCCGCCGCAGCUUCCAUUGCGUAGUAGCUAACACCUCGCAACUGGAGAGCGGCGCGGCCAUGCCGUAAAACACCCAACUUCUGAAUGUUGACCUCGAAUCAGGUAGGAAUACCCGCUGAACUUAAGCAUAUCAAUAAGCGGAGGA